AGGGUGUCUGAUGGUGAAAACCCAGGCCCAUCCCAAUAGGAUGUCUGAUGGUGAAGGGCCCCCCCAAAGGGUGUCUGAUGGUGGAGACCCAAGCCUGCUCCAAUAGGAUGUCUGAUGGUGGAGGACUCACCCUAAAGGAUGUCUGAUGGUGGAGGGCUCACCCUACAGGAUGUCUGAUAGGUGGAGGGCCCACCCUGAAGGGUAUCUGAUAGUGGAGGGCCCACCCUAAAGGAUGUCUGAUGGUGGAGGACUCACCCUAAAGGAUGUCUGAUGGUGGAGGGCUCACCCUACAGGAUGUCUGAUGGUGGAGGGCUCACCCUGAAGGGUGUCUGAUGGUGAAAACCCAGGCCCAUCCCAAUAGGAUGUCUGAUGGUGAAGGGCCCCCCCAAAGGGUGUCUGAUGGUGGAGACCAAGUUCCUGUCCAGGUGCGCCUUCCUGUUGUUCUGCAUGGCUCCCAGGCCCUGGAACGGGGCUCUCAUGCUGUAUCAGCGCGUCGUGCGCCCGCUGUUCCUAAGGCACCACGGGGCCGUGGACAGGAUCGUGAACAACCUCAGCGGGCGAGCCCUGGACGCGGCAGCCGGAAUAACCAGGAACGUCAAGCCAAGCCAGACCCUGCAGCCGAAGGACAAGUGAAGCAGCCCCCUGGGUCUUGCAGGGACCUCCCGGCUGGUGAGGAGGGGGCCGCGCCGGGCUCCCAGGCCUCCACAGAGUCUUCAGCGCAUCUCCCGACGGCAGCCCCCGCCAGUCCCUCGGGUCCAGGCAAGGCCCUGGGGGUCUCCUUAAAUGCCACCUCGGGCAAGUCCCAGUCCCAGUCCUCGGCCACCCCCAGCUCUGAAUCCCAGGGCCAGCUGCCCUCCGGCUCUGGCCAUGGCAAGGCCCAGGGCCAGCGUCGGGCACGGGGCAGCUCCCAGCGGUCUCGGCAACGCACCCAGCUGCCUGGUAC
rnacentral:lncRNA from 1 species